GAAGAAGGCCUUCGGGUCGAUAAGUACUUUCAGCGGGGAGGAAGGUGUUGUGGUUAAUAACCGCAGCAAUUGACGUUACCCGCAGAAGAAGCACCGGCAAACUCCGUGCCAGCAGCCGCGGUAAUAA
rnacentral:rRNA from 1 species